rnacentral:lncRNA from 1 species
CCUACAGGUAGAAGGCAGCAGUUACCCUACAGGUAGAAGGCAGCAAAACAGCCGUCAAGCAACUUCAGUGACUCGCCCCAAAGGAUUUAGAUCUCUUUCCUCCAGAAUACUAAAAUCUCUAGACAUCUGAACCAAAAGAAAAAAAUAUCGCCUUCAGUGAUGAAAAGCAUGGUGUGCAAAUCGACUCUCUGGGUUCCUGUGGAGAGAUUCUCAUCCCACAUAAAUAAGUCUUCAGGCGCCCUGGUCAGGACUUCUCAGGCAAAGUCUCUUCCAGGCAGCCUCAAUAGGACACAGCUGCACUGAUGUUAGUCUCAAUUGAUGGAGUGAAGAAGCCUCAUCUUUAUUCAGUGUAAAGCAGCUGCCAAGAGAAAUGGCCUUUGAGAGGGGUAAUAAGUUCAUGAAUAUCACCUGUGUCGUGCAAAACAAUAUUUGAUUUUUUUGAAAGUUUAAAUUGAUUGGAAAGAACAUAUGAAUUAAGUGCUAUCUCGUGAGUGAAAAGUUUUGCUGCAGGGUGACAGAGUGCGCCAUCAAGGUGAUGCAUUUCAAACAUUACCUUCCUGUGACACAAGGGAGUCAUGGACCAAAUGGAACAGAGGAAAUUAUGACCCGCUGGCCAGGAUGGAUCUGUAACAUAGGAAUGCCACACCAAUAUCCUGCAUUCCUAUUUCAGAGAAUAAGACCUUGAGCAAAUAAAACAAACACUGAAGUAGA